UACAGAGGGGGCAAGCGUUAUUCGGAAUUAUUGGGCGUAAAGGGCGCGUAGGCGGCCCGGCAAGUGGAAGGUGAAAUCCCUCGGCUUAACCGAGGAACUGCCCUCCAAACUGCUUGGCUUGAGUCCGGGAGAGGUGAGUGGAAUUCCCAGUGUAGCGGUGAAAUGCGUAGAUAUUCGGAAGAACACCAGUGGCGAAGGCGACUCGCUGGACAAGUAUUGACGCUGAGGUGCGAAAGCGUGGGGAGCAAACAGG
rnacentral:rRNA from 1 species